CCGGGAGAGGGGGCGGGGAGAGGCAGGGAGGGCGGACCAGGCGGUAAACUCCCCAGGAAGGGGCCCAGGUCCUGGCCGUGGGCUCCAGGCUCCGCGAAGGUCCCCCGGACCCCGCCCCCGCCGCCCCGGCCCGCCGCGGACCACCCCUCCCCGAGCACAGGCCUCUGAUGUCAUUUCCUGACUUGCCCCCCUCCACGCCCGACCCGCGGUGCCCAAGGUCUGAUUCACCGUCCCCACGCCGGGAUCAGCCCGAGAAGGUCUGGCGGUGCCCUGGAGCCCCUUCCGGCUUCUAGGAAUUCGCAUCAUCCGCACCCCCGCCUGCAGAUCUGUGAAUAUUUGCGAGAAGGAGAGGCGAGGACAGCGGAGCCAGGGAGCCAAGGUGCGGGGGCGGGGCGGGGAGGCGUGGGCGGCCGGUCGACUGGGGCUCCGGGAGGAAGGGCGUGGACGCGGUCGACACGUCUUCGACAGCUGUGAAGCGCCCACAGUGAUCCCUCGGGGAGCCUUUGGGCGGCGGGGCGGCCCUCGGGGAAUCCGGAGACUGCGCUCCGUGGAGCCCCCCACUGGUCCGACUAGACUGCUCUGCCUUGAAAUCGGCCCCAGGCGACGCAAAAGGGACAGACCUGGGAAUCACUGAACACGGAAACGCGCCAAAUUGCCGCUUGAAUGCUUGCACACUCACUACUUACAAACUAUGGAGUCAUAUGGCCUUUCGGCCUGCGGAUCCCAUGUAUCCCCCUCCGGCGCUGCCUUUUUCCUGCCAUCUAAGGCAGUUCCCUUGCACACACCCUGCUGUCUCGGGUCCUGCCGCUUCAAAUGCGCAGCAGCCUCCUGCCAGCGAGCACCUGCGCUGUGGUCUAGAGGCCAUCCAGACCUUCCUCUGACGUUUAGCAGGAGAACACAGACUGGGGGCUUCGGAGGGCCCGCCCCCCACCCCCGGCAUCACACCCAGUUAGCCCCCAGGUCUCUAGGUUAGAGCUAGGUGUCUCGAGAGCUCUAACGGCAGAGCUCGCUCUCCUAACUCUGGGGUGGGGUGAAGCAACGCUGGAGGCCAGGACGCAGAACGAGGUCAGGGUGCAGAGACCCGCCUGAGUGGCCGAGUCUCUUGGUUCUCUCCACUCCAUUUCCUCCGUGUGUAAAAGGCGUGAUGAUACUCAAUCCACUUACCUUAGUGCAUUAUAUGGAGGAAUACACGAAAUUCAAUAUCUGAA